UACGUAGGGUCCGAGCGUUGUCCGGAAUUACUGGGCGUAAAGAGCUCGUAGGUGGUUUGUCGCGUUGUUCGUGAAAACUCACAGCUUAACUGUGGGCGUGCGGGCGAUACGGGCAGACUAGAGUACUGCAGGGGAGACUGGAAUUCCUGGUGUAGCGGUGGAAUGCGCAGAUAUCAGGAGGAACACCGGUGGCGAAGGCGGGUCUCUGGGCAGUAACUGACGCUGAGGAGCGAAAGCGUGGGGGAGCGAACAGGA
rnacentral:rRNA from 1 species